UUUGGAACAGCUUUAUGUAGGCCCUAACAGUUUAUGGGCAACAUUUUUCACCUUUUAUAGUGUAAUUCAUGUAUUGUUUAGUGUUGUGUUGUGGCUUUGCUGGCAUGCAUCUAAUACAUUAUUGUUAUUAUUUUUGCCCCACAAAGAUUUACAUUCUACAAUCGCCAAUGAGAAUAACUAAAAACAACGAACUUGCCUACGCCAGAGGGAUUGCUGUAUGCAUCGGAGGACAGUACGCUCUGGAGGACCGGCCGCUCUGGAGGAUUUACAUUUCAUCCGGUUGACCCAAGACAUCCAAAUACAAAUCUAUAUGGAGAGGUUACCAAGAGGCUGUAUCCCAGAAGCUGAAAGGUUAAGGGUCCAACGUCCAACGCUUCCAAAAGAGGCGGGGGGAAAGGUUUGGACACUGAGACUUGCAUUUCAACUAGCCAGCGAGCUCUUCCAACAAAACCUAACUCUUGUGAAAUGGAAUUCCAUCAAACUCAGAGACCUUCAAGACCUUCUUGCUCGACAAAAUAUGACCUAUUCGGAAUGUGUGAGAGACUUGAGUGUGCAUCUAAACCUUCCAAUUAAGAACUUCUUCAAAGAGCUGGAUGACUUUCUUUUACAUGAGCGUUUCAGCGCGUGCUCAUGGGAGGUCGUGAGAGCUGAAAUGGGGAGCAUCAUUUCACAAGCAAUCAAAAAUGCCAAGAAAUACGUGUGAGAGUAGCAUUACUUUUAGUUCAAUUCUGCAUUAAAAUGUAAUUUUGUUUAAUAUAUUAAGUAUGCCACUGUAACCUUUAUAUAUUUAUAUUAUUUAUCCGUGUUGCAAAUAAUUGCAAAUAAUUGCCAUGUACACUAUAAUAUUUAAAUAAAAAGACAAACACGCUUUAU
rnacentral:lncRNA from 1 species